rnacentral:misc_RNA from 1 species
CCCCCUGAACCCAAAACAAUCAAAGUACUCAUUGGCUUUUGGGAUUUGGAGUGCAACGGUUUGCCGGUUUGAUAAAUGACAUAGAUAACACGAACUAUUGAAAUAAAGAUGAGGCCAAUGAUGAUGACAAUGGAAAUGGAGAACAAAUUUUCAUCAUUGAUCUCCAUUAGCUAAAUUAUACGAGUAUGCAACUGAUGGCAGCGUGCAGCAGGCGGUAAUAGCCAACGGAUCGGAGAGAUUACAAUGGACUAAUGGUGGAGUAACAGCCGGCGGGAAGGAUAGAUGUUGGGGAAUGGAAACUAACUUCACUAACGACAAUAGACACGGCAGAGAAAGAA